rnacentral:rRNA from 1 species
CCUACGGGAGGCAGCAGUGAGGAAUAUUGGUCAAUGGACGAGAGUCUGAACCAGCCAAGUAGCGUGAAGGAUGACUGCCCUAUGGGUUGUAAACUUCUUUUAUAUGGGAAUAAAAUGUUCCACGUGUGGGAUUUUGUAUGUACCAUAUGAAUAAGGAUCGGCUAACUCCGUGCAAGCAGCCGCGGUAAUACGGAGGAUCCGAGCGUUAUCCGGAUUUAUGGGGUUUAAAGGGAGCGUAGGUGGAUUGUUAAGUCAGUUGGGAAAGUUGGCGGCGCAACCGUAAAAUUGCAGUUUCAACUGGCAGUCUUGAGUACAGUCGAGGUGGGCGGAAUUCGUGGUGUAGCGGU